rfam:Picea glauca, whole genome shotgun sequence.
GGUCUUACAGUGGAUACCUAGGCACCCAGAGAUGAGGAAGGGUGUGGUAAGCGACGAAAUGCUUCGGGGAGUUGAAAAUGAGCAUAGAUCUGGAGAUUCCUGAAUAGGUUAACCUUUUUAACUGUUGCUUAAUCCAUGGGUAGGAAAGAGACAAGCUGGCGAACUGAAACAUCUUAGUAGCUAGAGGAAUAGAAAGAAAAAACAAUUCUCAUAGUAGUGGUAAGAGAAAUGGGAGCAUCCUAAACCGUGAAAACAGAAUUGUGGGAGAGCACAAUAUAAGCUCUAUGCUGCUAGGCGAAGCGGUUGAGUCCUACACCCUAGAUGGUGAGAGUCCAGUAGCCAAAAUCAUCAUUGGGUUAUGCUCUAACUUGAGUAGCAUGGGGCACGUGGAAUCCCAUGUGAAUUAGCAAGGACCACCUUGCAAGGCUAAAUACUCCUGGGUGACCGAUAGCGAAGUAGUACUGUGAGGGAAAGGUGAAAAGAACCCUCAUCGGGGAGUGAAAUAGAACAUGAUACCAUAAGCUCCCAAGCAAUGGGAGGAAAAUGAUAUCUCUAACUGCGUGCCUAUUAAAGAAUGAUUCAGUGACUUAUAGGUAGUGGCUUGGUUAAGGGAACCCACUAGAGCUGUAGCGAGAGUGAGUCUUCAUGGGGCAAUUGUCACUGCUUAUGGACCCGAACCUAGGUGACUAUCCAUGAACAGGAUGAAGCUUGGGUGAAACUAAGUGGAGGUCUAAACCAACUGAUGUUGAAAAAUCAACAGAUGAGUCAUGGUUAGGGGUGAAAUGCCACUCGAACCCUGAGCUCCCUGGUUCUCCCCGAAAUGCAUUGAGGCAUAGUAGUUGAUUGGACCAUCUAGGGGUAAAGCACUGUUUCGGUACGGGCCGCGAGAGUGGUACCAAAUCGAGGAAAACUCUAAAUAAUAGAUUUCCCCAAUAAAAGGGGUAAAGGUCAGCCAGUGAGACAAUGGGGGAUAAGCUUCAUCAUUGAGAGCGAAACAACCCAUAUCAUUAGCUAAGGCUCCUAAAUGACCACUCAGUGAUGAAGGAAGUAUGAGUGAAAAGACAACCAGGAGGUUUUCCUAGAAGCAACCAACCUUGAAAGACUGCGUAAUAGAUCACUGAUCGAGUGCUCUUGCACUGAAUAUGAAUGGGACUAAGCGAUCCACCGAAGCUGUGGGAUGUAAAAAUACAUUAGUAGGGGAGUGUUCCACCUUAGAGGGAAGCACCGGUGUGAGCAGGUGUGGACGAAGUAGAAGAGAGAAUUUUGUCUUGAGUAACGCAAACAUUAGUGAGAAUCCAAUGCCCCAAAAACCUAAGGGUUCCUCCGCUAGGUUCAUCCAUGGAGGUUGAGUCAGGGCCUAAGAUUAGAUCGAAAGGUGUAGUUGAUGGACAACAGGUUAAUAUUCCUGUACUACCCCAUGUUGGUCCUGAGGGAUGGAGGAGGCUAGGUUAGCCGAAAGAUGGUUAUCGAUUCAAGGAUGCAAGGUGACCCUCUAUACAUUGAUUCAAAGGUAAAAGAAGAAUCAAAUAUAGGUGUGUACAAGGUGAGGUUGUGGGUGGAUAUUCCUCAUCAUCUACUCUAGCACACAAAAAUCCAAGACGUCUUAUCCAAACAUUAUAGGAUGCACAAAAUCAUGUAGGAGUGCUCAUAUCAUCAAUGAGGGUGAGUAUA